rnacentral:rRNA from 1 species
UGGGGAAUAUUGGACAAUGGGGGGAACCCUGAUCCAGCCAUGCCGCGUGUGUGAAGAAGGCCUUAUGGUUGUAAAGCACUUUAAGCGAGGAGGAGGGUACUGGUAUUAAUACUACCAGGUACUGGACGUUACUCGCAGAAUAAGCACCGGCUAACUCUGUGCCAGCAGCCGCGGUAAUACAGAGGGUGCGAGCGUUAAUCGGAUUUACUGGGCGUAAAGCGUGCGUAGGCGGCUAAUUGAGUCGGAUGUGAAAUCCCCGAGCUUAACUUGGGAAUUGCAUUCGAUACUGGUUAGCUAGAGUGUGGGAGAGGAUGGUAGAAUUCCAGGUGUAGCGGAGAAAUGCGUAGAGAUCUGGAGGAAUACCGAAGGCGAAGGCAGCCAUCUGGCCUAACACUGACGCUGAGGUACGAAAGCAUGGGGAGCAAACAGG